rnacentral:rRNA from 1 species
CACGUAGGGGGCGAGCGUUGUCCGGAUUCACUGGGUUUAAAGGGCGCGUAGGUGGAUUAGUAAGUCAGUGGUGAAAUCUCCGGGCUUAACCCGGAAACUGCCAUUGAUACUAUUAGUCUUGAAUACCGUGGAGGUCAGCGGAAUAUGUCAUGUAGCGGUGAAAUGCUUAGAUAUGACAUAGAACACCAAUUGCGAAGGCAGAUGGCUACACGAGCAUUGACACUCAGGCACGAAAGCGUGGGGAUCAAACAGG